rnacentral:rRNA from 1 species
AUGAGCGAGAGGCACAAGCUGCUCGGGGAGAGGGAGGACGACGCGGUCGGCGCGCCGACGCGCCGAUGGGAGUCGCCGCGGCGAGGCGCGAGCGGGGAGAUGGCGCCGGCUCACAGGCCCCGGGGCCGCGUGUUCGAGUGCAGGACGUGCGGCAGGCGGUUCCCGACGUACCAGGCGCUGGGCGGCCACCGGGCCAGCCACGGGCGGCAUCUUCCCAGUGCCAGCAGGCUGCGCGACGGCGACGCCCUCGGGCUCCGGCUGCUGGAGCCACGCGGUGAAGAGGCGAGGCCGAGAACGCACGGGUGCCCCGUCUGCGGCGUGGAGUUCGCCGUCGGGCAGGCGCUCGGCGGGCACAUGAAGCGGCACCGUGCUGCCAUGGCCGACGCCGACGCGAACGCGCGCGGCACCAUGGCGGCAACGUCCGUGAAGGAUGACGGCGCUGGAGCAGAGUGCACGCCCGAGAUCUGCCUGGACUUAAACCUGGCGCAGGCGGAGAAGUGCGCGAAGUGCAGGAACGCUACACAUAAAUCAAAUUCCGAUGUUUCAACAAAAUCUGAAUUUUAUUUGUGA